rnacentral:rRNA from 1 species
UACGUAGGGGGCAAGCGUUGUCCGGAUUUAUUGGGCGUAAAGAGCGUGUAGGCGGCUUUACAGGUCCGUUGUGAAAACUCGAGGCUCAACCUCGAGACGCCGGUGGAAACCGUAAGGCUAGAGUCCGGAAGAGGAGAGUGGAAUUCCUGGUGUAGCGGUGAAAUGUGCAGAUAUCAGGAGGAACACCCGUGGCGAAAGCGGCUCUCUGGGACGGUACUGACGCUGAGACGCGAAAGCGUGGGGAGCAAACAGG